CUAGGAAUCUGCCUGGUAGUGGGGGACAACGUUUCGAAAGGAACGCUAAUACCGCAUACGUCCUACGGGAGAAAGCAGGGGACCUUCRGGCCUUGCGCUWUCAGAUGAGCCUARGUCGGAUUAGCUAGUUGGWGGGGUAAUGGCUCACCAAGGCGACGAUCCSUAACUGGUCUGAGAGGAUGAUCAGUCACACUGGAACUGAGACACGGUCCAGACUCCUACGGGAGGCAGCAGUGGGGAAUAUUGGACAAUGGGCGAAAGCCUGAUCCAGCCAUGCCGCGUGUGUGAAGAAGGUCUUCGGAUUGUAAAGCACUUUAAGUUGGGAGGAAGGGCARWAAGYUAAUACCUUGCUGUUUUGACRUUACCGACAGAAUAAGCACCGGCUAACUCUGUGCCAGCAGC
rnacentral:rRNA from 1 species